GUGGGGGGACUCUCCAGGGACACCAUGCGUCACAGAGCAGCGAAGAGGGGGGUGGUGAAGGCAGGCAUGGGCAGGUAGGAGAAUGUCACCCUGUCACUGACAUCAUAGGGCAGAAGUGGGGAAUCAAAAGAACAGAGGUCAAGGCAUGGUAAGGGUCAGGUGACUGCCACGCCCUCCUCCCCUCCGGGCUCAGGGGGAUCGGUGAGUUCCUUAAGUGGAUUUGCAAUGAGUUUCUGAAGAAAAGGUCAACUUCGAGGAUUUGCGUUACUCCUGAAAGGGCAGGGCUGCAGACACUCAGGAGCUGGGGACCGAACCCAGGGCUUUGCGCUUGCUAGGCAAGUGUUCUACCACUGAGCUAAAUCCCCAACCCCCAAUGCAAAUCUGACCAACCAAGCUUCUGCUGCCCUGCCUUCCUUGCCUGGUAGACAACGGAUGGAUGCUAAGACCCCCUUGACCAUACACUGAAAUAAAUCCUUGCUUCCCUUAGGGGACAUUUGUCCGGUCUUUUAUUAUAGCAACCAGAAAGUAAUAGGAACUUUAUUAGUGAUGAUUUUUCUCGUGAAACCCUUGGUAGGA
ensembl:lncRNA LOC120095183 uncharacterized LOC120095183